UACGUAGGGGGCUAGCGUUGUCCGGAAUCAUUGGGCGUAAAGCGCGUGUAGGCGGUCCGGUAAGUCCGCUGUGAAAGUCGGGGGCUCAACCCUCGGAUGCCGGUGGAUACUGUCGGGCUUGAGUACGGAAGAGGCGAGUGGAAUUCCUGGUGUAGCGGUGAAAUGCGUAGAUAUCAGGAGGAAUACCGGUGGCGAAAGCGACUCUCUGGACGGCAACUGACGCUGAGGCACGAAAGCGUGGGGAGCAAACAGG
rnacentral:rRNA from 1 species